CCCGGAGUCGAGGGAACGAGGUGUGAAUAAGAAGGUAUCGAUCAAGCAGACAUAAAGAGACUGACAGCAAUAUCCUAUGGGAUGUCGUCGUUUCAGCCUCCGACAUCUGAGGUGACUGUUUGCAUCUCCUACUCUGACCUCAUCGGACCGAAAACAUGCCAGGGACAACUGGUGUGUCACAACUGGCGUGUCAUUCAUCCGAAUGGGUCCAACUGAGGCAUUUUUUUACUUAGUAUCAGCUGCUGAUGAGUCUGUCUUUUCAUUCUUCUGCUGAGGCUUUGCAGUCCGUUUUUGGACCUCACAUUAAUUGCAAACCCAAAAUAUUCGAUGGACAGUAAUGCUUGACCGCCACAUCCUAACAGGUAACCUUGGGAACAGAAGAAGAUCCCUAUAGUAUAUUGUUCUGACGGCUUACUGGAGUUAUAAAUGCAGUCUUUAUUGUUUUCGGAUAUUACGGACUCAUUCCGUACACGGUCAAUAAAAAAAUAACACUUUCAGAGAAAACGAGAAAUUAAACUUGUGUUGUGAGAGGCAGAAAAUUGGAGAGGCCUGCUGUGUGGGUGUGGAUGAACAGGGAGACGUCGUUAUUUGAAAGUGAAAUUAAGACGCUUCCAUAUUGAAGAUGCACUGGAAUCACUAUAAGUCUGUAAUUGAUGUCUAACCUAGUGAUUACUGACCGGAUGUGCCCUCCCUCAAAAAGCAAAAUGGAAAAUACUCAAACUAAAUAUUUAGAUAUACCCCCGCAGCCCUCUGUUGGUAGCAAGAUGGAUGGAUGGAUUUAGAUAUAUAAAUAAGAAUAAAAAUAGAGCUCUUUAGUUGCCAGCUGUGUCUUUACCAGUCGUGGCGUGUUGGGUCUGGGAGUGAGGGCUGCCUUUACGGAUCACUGGGGCUCACUGGGGCUCACUGGGUCUCGCCGGGUCUCACUGUGUACAACCCAGCAGCCUCACCAUGUACCUGCGGCCGCGUGAAGGUGCCGCUAAUGGCAGGCCGUGGUUCACUUUCGAGGGGACCACCGCUCCCGAUGAAGACUUACAUCCAGGUCAGCGGCAGGCCAGGCACCGAGAUGCGGAGCCUGGUGAUGUAACAUUCACUCUCCCCUCGUCGGUAAGUGACCCGGCUGCUCGCACCCCCUCCAGGUGCUUUUAAACAUUCCUCUGUGCCUGUAGAUGCGUGCUGGUUAGGUUCAAGUUCCUCUUUUUCCACUGGCGACAUUCCUCUGGAAACACCUAUACAUUAGCACGAGAGGUCAGAGUACGUCGAGCAUGCAAAUUGCGGAAUCUGCCGGAAGAGUGGGCAGCUAUAGCUGGCUCCCAGCCGCACAGAGGCUGUGGUUUUGAACCCUGAUGUGAGGUCGCAGUGGUUUUUCGGAUGGGCCUCUGAUCGACAGGAGAAUAAUGCCGCACCCUCUGACGUCCGCUCAUUCAAACAAACAGUGGAUUAUCCAGUGAUGCUUCUCCCGCUCCUCCGCGCUACAAGCACGCCUGAGUUAUUCCAAGCCACACGAUAUAAAAUUUAUGCGUCUCUGUAUAAUGCAUAAGGUAAUUUUGCAAUGCUUUUCCCACUGGCAUUAAUCUUCACAGCCAAAUCUUUUUUAAAAAAAAGGCGCAAAAUGUUUUAAAUGAUCUUUUUUUGUCUAGUUACCCUUUUAAUAAAUAUUUCAUCGGCACUUGAAGUUGGCCUCACCCAAGUCGCUCUCACAUGAAUAAAUAUAUAAAUAAAUGUGAUGCGCAGCCUCUGCGGAUCUCACGGGGCCCAGUGGCUGCCGGUCUGCUCUGGUGACGUUUAUCGGCACGGGUGAGGGAUUCCUGGGUGGGAGUCGUGGCCUCCGGUGACAUGUGCACAUACAGAGGAACCCAAAAUGGUAUAAGCGAAGAAGCUUUUGGUAUAGCAGCAGAACGGCGUCCUGCUGCUAGUAUGCUGUGGAUGGUGUACAUCAUGAUAAUGAGUUCAUGUGACAACAUUUAUGAACUAGCAGAUAAACCGUUAAGUCAUACAUUCAUAGUUCCUCAGGGGAUGAUGUGUGGCUCAGGCUCCCAUAUCUGUGAUCAGUAGGCUGUACGUUCAAAUCCCAGGGUCCUAUCCCACUGAUUUAACUCUUGGGCCCUUUAGCGAGGCCCUUAACCCCUAGUUGCUCCAGGGACUAGCUGACCCUGCUUUCACGAAACCUCUGAGUCACCCUGGAUAAAAGUUUCUGCUAAGUUAAUGGGGGUGCUUCUCCUACAGAUCUCCGUCAUGUUCUUGUGCUCACAUCUGGUUUUCAGUGUGAAACUCAGAGGGCUGGUCCCAGGCAAUAGGAAGGGGAGAUACAGUAUAAGUUCAAAAAGGCAGAGAGAGGGGCUUUCAUGACAGCCAGUGCCAGGCAGCAUGUGGGGAAAUGGGAACGCUGCUACAGCAGAUGGCUGUGCAUGGCUUCUCCCAGCAUCCUCUGGGGCACUGUGGUUCUUCAGGUGAAGAGACGCAAAGCCAGUGCAGAUGUUUAGCUGCAUGCUAACGUUCAGCCGCCUGCCUUCUGGCAGGAAUACACCUUUGGUCAUCACUGUCUGUGGCCUCCAGCCAAGUGCUAUGAACUCUAAAUGUCUCUUAAACUUAGACAGCUUUACACCGGCGAAGUUUAUAACUUUUGUUCAACGGCAUGUACAGAACUAACUGUAAUCCCAGUUUCAACAUAUCCACCCAAAAAAUGCAUAAAAACUAUAUGAAAUUAAAAUAUAGAUACCUGAUGUAUUAGUUUGCCUGAUACUGGGCAAUUAUUCGGACAUCAUAUCUGGAGCCUCAUUUAUAAAACAUUCUUAUGCACAGAUUUGAUCUUAGAUUUUGCGCACGAUCAAAUCCACGCCAAACUUCAAAUUUUUGAAAACGGUCUUUGGUGUAGAAAAGUACUUAUAACCACCGUCAGGUUCAGACUUGAUAUAUGCACUUUCCUUGUGGCAACGUUGGGGUAUCGCAGCUAGACAGAAAUCGGACCACCGUGGACUCCCUGUUUGGGUUGCCACUUUCAAUCGCUCAGGGGGCCCUAACAAAGUGCUUGGCUUCCUGAAUCUGUCAUAGCAUCCAUGCCCUUCUGAGGCCCUUGAUCGUGACAUCACUAGCAGUUACACCACUGGAAAGGCUCCGAAACAGCAACCCUGCACGCAUUUGUACCUGGAUGGAUGGAUGGAUGGAUGGAUGGAUGGAUGGAUGGAUGGAUGGAUGGAUGGAUGGAUGGAUGGAUGGAUGGACUGUGGAGUUUUCAUUUGUAUUAUGCUCUGAUUAUUAUUAUUAUUGAUAUCAGUCCAUUACAGGGUAAAUCCACCCACACAUGCAGUCAUUUGCUGGGGGCAAUUUACAGACACCAAUCUACCUAAACUAUGUGUUUUUGGAACUUUGGUAGAAAACACCCACAUGCAGGAGGUUGGAAGACGAGUGGAUUAUUGUUAUUAUAUUCAGUUUCUUAUUAUUUAAUGAAUGAGGAUGUUCAACUGCGCAGCAGAGUUAGGAAAUGAAGUUGAAAGAAGCCAUGAAAUUCAAACGUCAUUCCAGAGGAAAUUGGCAGGAAAUACGCCAAGCGGCGAGUGAGAAUGAAGGUGCUGGAGGGGGAGGAUGUCCUGCACAGCCUACCGAGAGCAGCUCAGCCGCGACCGAAACCAUGUGCUUACCACAGCCUCACAUAGACCGAAACCAUGUGCCUACCACAGCCUCACAUAGACCGAAACCAUGUGCUUACCACAGCCUCACAUAGACCGAAACCAUGUGCUUACCACAGCCUCACAUAGAUCAAAACCAUGCGCUUACCACAGCCUCACAUAGACCGAAACCAUGCGCUUACCACAGCCUCACAUAGACCGAAACCAUGUGCUUACCACAGUCUCACAUAAACCGAAACCAUGUGCUUACCACAGCCUCACAUAGACCGAAACCAUGUGCUUACCACAGCCUCACAUAGACCGAAACCAUGUGCUUACCACAGCCUCACAUAGACCAAAACCAUGUGCUUACCACAGCCUCACAUAGACCGAAACCAUGUGCUUACCACAGUCUCACAUAGACCGAAACCAUGUGCUUACCACAGCCUCACAUAGACCGAAACCAUGUGCUUACCACAGUCUCACAUAGACCGAAACCAUGUGCUUACCACAGCCUCACAUAGACCGAAACCAUGUGCUUACCACAGCCUCACAUAGACCGAAACCAUGUGCUUACCACAGCCUCACAUAGACCGAAACCAUGUGCUUACCACAGCCUCACAUAGAUCAAAACCAUGUGCUUACCACAGCCUCACAUAGACCGAAACCAUGUGCUUACCACAGCCUCACAUAGACCGAAACCAUGUGCUUACCACAGCCUCACAUAGACUGAAUCCAUGUGCUUAACACAGCCUCACAUAAAUUGAAACCACCAUCUUACCACAGCCUCAGAUAGACCGAAACCAUGUACUUACCACAGCCACACAUAGACUGAAACCACCUUCUUACCACAGCCUCAGAUAGACUGAAACCAUAUGCUUACCACAGCUUCACAUAGACCGAAACCACCUUCUUACCACAGCCUUACAUAGACGAAACCACCUUCUUACCAAAGUCUCACAUAGACUGAAACCACCUUCUUACCAAAGCCUCACAUAGACCGAAACCAUGUGCUUACCACAGCCUCACAUAGACCGAAACCACCUUCUUACCACAGCCUUACAUAGACGAAACCACCUUCUUACCAAAGUCUCACAUAGACUGAAACCACCUUCUUACCAAAGCCUCACAUAGACCGAAACCAUGUGCUUACCACAGCCUCACAUAGACCGAAACCACGUUCUUACCACAGCCUCACAUAGACCGAAACCACGUUCUUACCAAUGCCUCAUAGACCAAAAGCACAUUCUUACUACAACCUCACAUUGACUGAAACCACAUUCUUAAUAUAACCUCACAUCACAUACAACUGCAUCCAAACUUGCAUUCUUACUGCAACCUCACAAACACGGGCAGUCAAAAAGCAGAUAUCACACUCUGACAUGCCAAAUUAUGUUUUCCAUAUGAAAUAUUAAAAUUUUUAGAUCCAAAAUGUUUUUAUACCCUUUUAGACAGUCUUUAUAUGGCAGAAAAAGUGAGACAAAAAUAUGACAAAACAAUCUUAUAUGUCCUGUAACACUUUUCCUGUUAUAUGGAAAGUAUUUAGCAGGGCGUCGAUUCAGAAUUUAAUAAAACACUGUGUCUGUUGAAAGCUGUUUUAAAUUAGCGACUGAGACGUGCUUAACAAUAGAAAUGUGUCUCUGUCUAGAACACUGUGCCUCGGUUAUAUAUUGAUUGAUUCAUUGAUAGGCAGCUGAUAUGACACAUGCCUUUUGCUUAUCAGCCUCUGCCUGACCCUGGGGAUACAGGAGGCCCCGCUUCUUUGCUGCCUGCCACACCACUUCAGUGACA